UACGGGGGGAGCAAGCGUUGUUCGGAAUUACUGGGCGUAAAGGGCGCGUAGGCGGCAAUAUAAGUCAGAUGUGAAAUCCCCGGGCUUAACCUGGGAACUGCAUUUGAUACUGUAUUGCUAGAGUGCGGUAGGGGAUGAUGGAAUUCCUAGUGUAGAGGUGAAAUUCGUAGAUAUUAGGAGGAACACCAGUGGCGAAGGCGAUCAUCUGGGCCGUAACUGACGCUAAGGCGCGAAAGCGUGGGGAGCAAAC
rnacentral:rRNA from 1 species